ACUCCCUAUGUCUGCAGCAAAGAUUGGGAGAUUUACAAUGGCAUGGGGUGGAAGGUAGGGGCUGAAGGGAUCACGAGCCACAAAAAACACAGUCAAGCCACGAAUUCAUAAUAGUAAGGAUUCAUAAUAGCUAAGCAUGGGACUCUGCUAGGUAGCUGCUAAAAUGUCAUUCUGCUGAAAUGGGACAAAAGACCUUCAGAUGCCUGGAGGACACCAGCACACCCUUGGAAACUCCUCUUCCCUCUGUCUUUGCCAUGCUCUGUAUUCUGAAGGAUUCAUAUUCAGAACAAUUACUUAGUUUGGGUUGGAUGUGGUGGAGCGGUUUGAGAUGAAAACCCAGGAAAGAAAGCCGUAAAAGUGGCUGAACAGGGAGAAUAAGCUUUAAGCAAAUAAAGCAUUUGUAACACUUUCCCAUUUCAUCAGGGCCUAGUGAUGUCAUAUGUUUGUUGUUGUUGCUGAUGCUACAGUAACACAAUUCCAAGUUAAUGUUGGGGUUCUUGCUUCUGACAGUUUUGGCUGUAGCACAUUUUUUUGUUUGCAUUUGAAUACACCAUAUGUAUAGGGGAAUGUUUUGUUUUUUAUCAUUUCAAAAUGGAAUUAAUCCUCUUAUAACAUUUAUUUAAAUGAUAAAUCAAGUGGUAAAUAUAGUUUGCUUGCAGUGAACAUUUGGAACAUAUGAUGAAAAAUAGCUAUAGCCAACGCAAGAGCAGUUUUCAUUGAACAGUUGUUCAAUCUCAGUUUUUAAUAAAUCUGAUAAUAUAAUAUCUGUGCAUGUUAGGAUUGCAGAGAGUGAAGCCAAAAUAAAUAUGUGCACACAUAGCCUAUUCCUCCCUUUCUUUCCAUUUCUGUUCUCUUUCCUCUUUGCUUUUGAAAUUUUUAUUUAGUCCUGAGUGGGGAUGGGGUGGAGAGAAAGUGGACAGUGGGUGGUGGGAGAUACAGGGAGAAAGAAUGAGAAUUGCUCUUGUUCUCAAGGGUACCGCAUCACGUUUUCCUCUGGCUGGCAGUCUUUAACACCAGCGUAUCCUAUGAGACCUGACUUCACUCAUCAGCUGCAUCAGCUCAGUGUCAUUACCACAUGUAGACAGCAAUGUAAUCCUCCUUCUUAGAGAUGCUGCAGCAGAUUGGAGGGUGAAGAGAUGUAUCAGUCAGAUCAGAGUAACCAGCUGGCUCCUGGCUCCUGAUCAUUGUCACAGCUCAGUAGCUGGAAGCUCCUUCCAUAUGGCUGAUGCCUUUAAAAAAAUCUCCUCAAUCUCCAUCCCCAUCUGCAAUACUGUUUAGUUAUUCAAUCAUUUAAGUCAUUCAUGUAUUGAAAAGAGGAUGGGGAUAUGAUCCCUCUGCUCUGUGGCAGUAGAUCUACUAAUGGGAGAGUCCUGGCCGCACAUCUGGCCUGGGUCUGGAGGUGCCCUACGGAAUUGAAAGCUGGCUGGAACUGUCAUCUUAACAUGUCCUGGUCAUCUUAACGUGUCCACCUCUCUGGCAAGCCUCUUUUCAAGUCUUUUUGUUACCAUCUUCAGCUUUUUCCCUCCAUACUAGAUUCUUAAUGAAUUGCUGCCAACAAGAGAAAGCUUUAUACAUGAAGAGAAUGGCAAUAAGAACUAACUCGUCUUUUUAAUUUUAAAACUGGUAUAUAUUCCUAUAUAAUAGGAAUGGAAGAUACUUGCAAAGCCUAUUUGUUCCUCUACAGAAGAGUUAAAAAUUACCUGGGCUAAUGGAAAGAAGGGAGAGUCAGCCAAUUAGAUGCUCCUGAAUGCCCUGAAUUGUGACUUACCUCUUCUUAUCCACAUCCUGAUCAAGGAAAGGGAUGAGAGAGAGGUGGAGAGAGAAGAAAUGGAAAUUCAAAAGUUUUGACGGCAGAGGAAAAUUGUGCUUAUUUCCAGAAUGAGACGAACAAGGUCCUGGGUCCCUACAUGUCAUACUGGCUAGAGACUGGGAAACAGAUUAACUGAGAGAAGCCAUCAAGCCUGAAGAGACAUCGUGUUUGAAAUGUGUAAGGCACAGUGUACCCGCCGUGGAUCAAAACAACCUGAAGGACAGACAGACAGACACACCGAGGAUCAGCAGAUAUCAGUGGGGACAGGUGCUGAUGAUGGUGCAAAUGAGAGUCAUGAAGGAAAGUUAAAUGAUGACCAAAGACCAAGUACCUUCCCCACAAUGCUUUGACAAGCGCUUUUAUAAGCACCCUGGAAUUUAGACACUACCCGGGGAGAAAAGGAAAGGGAGACAAGCAUGAAUUGUCUGAGAAACCCCUGAAUUAAUCAUGUGUACCCCAAUGCAACAAGGAUCUAGAUAUAGAAUAAUUUUAAUUAUAGAAAACAAAAUUAUAUUUUACCCACCCAUAUUUGAUGCCCAUGAAUUUCACAUCUACCUUACGUGCACAUAAAAUUCAAGCUUAGAUAGACGGAAAACAAAAAAUCAAGAAGCAAUAUUUGCCUUCUAAUAACUUAUCUAUUGGAGGAGGUAAAAGAUAGAAAAGUAGUUCAGAUGACAAAUACUAAAAGAGUUAGGAACUUCUGCUUCCACUUACGAUGAAGGAACUUGUACUCAAUCCAUCCACUUUGUAAUUCUCCUUGAGCUGCUGUAAUAAAGUACCACAAACUGGGUGACUUAAAA